CACAAAAAAACACACACUUCCAUCAUAGCGACUGAUAUGCAGAUACCUCACACCAGCAAUGACAAACGCCACUCCCUGAUUGACAACAGAUGAAAUCUGAGGAAGUAGAAUGUUAUGCGUCACAUGCGACUAACAUUCCUAACAUUCCUCAGUGAAAACACAAGAACAGUUGUCAUGUACUUUUUCCAACCCUUCUCCUCUUUUUCCUGUUCGUUUGUGAUCAAAUCAUUAAUUCGUCAAUCCUCUUAAUGGCGACAUGUAACUCCUCUCUCUGCCACUUGUCCAUUCUGCUGGGUUGACGUAGUGCCCGUCAUCAAGUCACUGCUCCUUUAUUCCUCUAGUCUCUCCAUCCUCUCUACCCUCCCUCCUUUACCUAUGGCGGCAGGAUUUGUUCCCCCUCUAUUUCAAUAACAGUGAGAAGAGAAGCCUUGUGUAUUCAUUCACCUCCUCCACCCUCCCCUCCUGUGCCCCCCUCCUCUCCUCCUCUCUGCCUUUUUUCCUGUGUCUUUUCCUGUCUUUUGCAGCUGGAAGCCUAUUCACUGGUAGUUCAUGAAGAGAGGUUUUUUUUUGAAUGGUCACAAAGGAUGCCGGGGACAGGAGGGGGUCACUCUGUGAUUGACUGUCGCGACCUCCGACCUGCUCCGGGAACCGGGCGAGUUGCCCCGAGGCCUUGUGGCCAUUCAGGAGCCUCUGCAACAGCCUGCUACUCAUCUAUAGCUAAGCUUUUCUUUCAGGGGAAUCCUCGAGGAAUUCCAGGCCACAGUUAAGUGCUCUACUGUACAUCUUUCGCUGACCUUGGGAACGGCACUGCAAGAAAAUGAAGGCAAACAGCUGAAAUGAUGUGACCAUGAAUCAGGCUGACAGCUGUAGAGGCCGGAAACUACUAACUGAAGUAUUUAGCAUUCUCUCAGGUCUUCAUUGAAACAGUGCUUGAUUAAGACGGCCUAUGAUUGAGCCACUGAGUGUUUUAUUGACUUGGCAGUAGAGUGGGAGAGGUAAAGAGGGGAGGAGGCAGGAGGAGGAGGAAGAGGAGGGAGGUGGAGACUGACAGUCAUUGACUCACUUGAGUCCAUCAGAAGACCAAACAGCAGCUCGACGGGUGUGGCUGAUGGUGACUGAUGGUGACUGCUGGCCCCGCCCCUCCCUGCCCAUUGUCCAACAGCUCAGUCAGGACUCAGUGAUGGACAGUGGGGCCACUCCCUUCAUCCCACUCAGCUACCCGUAAGCAAGCUGCCAUCCACAGGCUGCCAGUGCCUCAAACUGUAUUGCAUUCAACAUUUUGAUUUGAGAGAAGCUUUUCAUUUGGAUCGACUAGUUUAACUGGUGCCUUGUUAAUCUUAAAAGGAAUCCAUAAAAGUCAAUGGCAAUCUAAUAGCACUGUUAAUGAGAUACCUAAAGUCACAAUUACAGUUCAACGUCCGCAGCCUACGCUUCCUGGCUGUAAUAAGGUUAAGUACAUAAUUUGCAGUCAGCAAUGGCGGUAAUAUAAUUUUUCAUAGCAGUGAGUAGUGUAACCAUUGACUAUUGCAGUUUCAGUAAUAUCACAGUUGCCAAUCAAGAAACGAUGUACAGUCAUUGUUAUCGCCAUCUCUAAAUAUCAGACUGAUGUUGUAGCUUGUUGACGUUGUUACUCGUCAGUUGGAAGUAUUCGAUCUACCUUGGUUAUUAAUGAGUCAGAUCAUGACAGAUAUUAUAACUGCCGUACAUAUUUCUUUCAAUUAAUAUGUUCUAUAAUUUCCAUACAUAUUGUUUCUGUUGUUUUAACAUGUGUUUGUUUAAAUUAAUUCAUGCAUGUUGAGUGCUUAUGUUGAGUGGGAACUAGGGUGCAUAUGUGUUGCACACGGACAUUUUUGAGGGAUGCAAUAGGAAAGAACGGACUUUUGGUGAGAGGUUGGUGUCUCUGCAUGUGAAUUUAAGUUGUGAAGAAGUUGCAAAGAAGACAAGAUGUUUUUUAUUUUUGUAUUUUGAUCGGGGCAUUUAAAGAACUCAUUCCCCCUUGGUUAUAUGCAGCCAGCGAGUUUGACGGUGGAUUUCAUUGACGGUGAACGUGAUAGCGGAGAAAAGAAAGAGAAAGGCAAUAAAUCCAUCAGUAUCCAGA